rnacentral:misc_RNA from 1 species
AAGUCGUAACAAGGUUUCCGUAGGUGAACCUGCGGAAGGAUCAUUAACUAAUUAUCUUGAUGUCUUUGGGAUGUAACCUUUUAUGGUUACAAACCUUGAUUUCAAUUAUCCAUUGAUUCUGUGAACUAACGUUUUGCCUUGGUAGAGAAAUUUACCAAAGGAUCUUUUUUAAACCAAUUUUUAUUGUCUGUAAAGUAUUAUUAAUAAAUAAAA